AGCGAACGCUGGCGGCAGGCCUAACACAUGCAAGUCGAACGAACCUUUCGGGGUUAGUGGCGGACGGGUGAGUAACACGUGGGAACGUGCCUUUAGGUUCGGAAUAACUCAGGGAAACUUGUGCUAAUACCGAAUGUGCCCUUCGGGGGAAAGAUUUAUCGCCUUUAGAGUGGCCCGCUUCUGAUUAGCUAGUUGGUUGAGGUAUUGGCCCACCAAGGAGACGAUCAGUAGCUGGUCUGAGAGGAUGUUCAGCCACAUUGGGACUGAGACACGGCCCAAACUCCUACGGGAGGCAGCAGUGGGGAAUCUUGCGCAAUGAGCGAAAGCCUGACGCAGCCAUGCCGCGUGAAUGAUGAAGGUCUUAGGAUUGUAAAAUUCUUUCACCGGGGACGAUAAUGACGGUACCCGGAGAAGAAGCCCCGGCUAACUUCGUG
rnacentral:rRNA from 1 species